ACUCGGAUUUAUUCUACGAAAAAAAGAGUUUCCGAAGUGUACUUUCUGUUUCGAUUUCACGUUAUAUUUAUACUGCUGUUAAUUGACGGGCAGGAGUCCUAAAGAUGCGGAAAAGGAGUUCCAGGAGACUUGGUGCAUUCAUUCUUAGUUAACAAAUCACAUUGUAAAGGUUUUGGACACACACUGUAAUGUCACACCAGAUGUAUUAGAUACUGGUUGUUCAACAUCUUCUAUGUCAAAGUUCACAUAAAACCUCAAGGAGUUAGCACACAGAUGGUUGAGCAGAAUAACUGAACAAAACAACAAAAAAAGAUUUUAACAUUCUGUAAUACAUGAACUAUUGAAAUUUUUCAUAGGCACUGCACAUAAAUGUAUAUGAAAAAAUAUAAACUUUUGAUGUCUUUAAUUAUAGGAACUAUAUACAAGUUGUUUAGUAUAUAAUAAUGACAUGAAAAAAAUACCUAUUUUAAAAAUAUUUUUGUAAUAUUUAAAUUAUCCAUGAAAAUAAUUGAGUAUAACAAUUAAAUCAAUACCAUCGAUUGUUUGUAAAUAUUUAUGCUUAUAUUUCAAUAAUGAGUAAAAAUCAUUAUCAUUAAUUGAAACAACUUGCUCAGAAAUGCUUACCAAUAACUAGAACCAAGGUGUGAAGGACAUAUUAUCCAUUACAUUUUGUAAAUUAUCAGAAUAUAUGUGACAUUAGCAAAAGGACUAUUUUAGUUUUUGAUUAUAUAAGCUUAAUACUUAAUGAGGCCAUCACUUGUUAUAUUAAAAACAUAUUUUGACGUAAA